AUACGUAGGGGGCGAGCGUUGUCCGGAAUGAUUGGGCGUAAAGGGCGCGUAGGCGGCUUUGCAAGUCAGUAGUGGAAGUCCAUUUUUCAAGGAUGGAAGUGCUACAGAAACUGCGGAGCUUGAGUGCAGGAGAGGUAAUCGGAAUUCCGGGUGUAGCGGUGAAAUGCGUAGAGAUCGGGAGGAACACCAGUGGCGAAGGCGGGUAACUGGACUGCAACUGACGCUGAGGCGCGAAAGUGUGGGGAGCAAACAGGAUUAGAUACCCUGGUAGUCCACACUGUAAACGAUGAAUGCUAGGUGUAGGAGGUAUCGACCCCUUCUGUGCCGCAGUAAACACAGUAAGCAUUCCGCCUGGGGAGUACGGUCGCAAGAUUAAAACUCAAAGGAAUUGACGGGG
rnacentral:rRNA from 1 species